rnacentral:lncRNA from 1 species
GGGAAACUCCCGAGCUCUCCUCCGCGUUCGCAGCCGCCGUCAUCCCGCGGAGGAGCGCGCAGCCCCGGGGAGGCCGGAGGACGCCAGCUGAGCCCCCCGAGAACUGCAGGGGUGAAGGGACGGCUGGGCUUCCCUGGGAGGUGGCAGCAGCUGGGCCUCUUCUGGAGACGCCCUCAUCACGCUGUGACCUUCGGGUGACCUUCAGUGUGGUCAGUGCACCUGGCGGGGGGUGGGGAACGUGCCUCCCUUUCUCUGCAGGUCUGGAGGGCAUUUCUCAUCCUUCCCUGGGAGAGGCAGACAGGCGGCCUCUGGGGCUUUGGGGCAAGACCCACUCACGUUCAGGGCGGCUGGGCCCCCAGGGCCCUUCCCACCUCUGCCUCGGUCAUUGAGAAUCUGGGCACCGCCUUUCCCACAGCCCAGAACCCUGUCCUCCGCCCUGACCCACGGGCCAAGUGCAGCAUGUGCCCACCCUGUUUAACGCCAGGAACCCUCUGCCCACAGAGACAGCACAGCCCUGGGCUGGGCGAGGACUCCCUGCUCCAGGGCUGGAGGCAGGCACGGCCCAUGCUGAGGAGGGGG